ACCACAUUAUUGAUGUGGUAGCAAAGUGGCCGGGAUCGGUUCACGAUGCAAGAAUACUUGCACAAAGUGGACUCUGCACCAUAUUUGAAAACGGCAUCGUCCCAGCUGGGUGUCACUUACUGGGAGAUAGUGGCUAUCCCAACAAGAAGUGGCUACUGACUCCAUACCUCAGACCACAGCCUGGAGCACAGUCUUAUAACAGGGCCCACAAGAAAACCCGCAGCGUUGUCGAAAGAGGCAUCGGGCAGCUGAAGCGACGUUUUCACGUGCUGCACAGCGAGAUCCGAGUUGGUCCUCCAUCCAAGGUCUGCCAAAUAGUAGAAGUAUGUGCACUGCUGCACAACAUCUGCAAAGUCAGAAACAUCAUUCUUCCAGAAGAAGAUGAAAAUCUGGCUGCAGCCGAGGAUGGAGGCAACGAGGAGCAACCCCCAGUACAGGAAGUUCAACGUCGCCGUGAAGGAAUCCUGUACAGGGAUGAAUUUGUGGUGCUUCACUUCAACAUUGAUGAGUGAUGAUACACCAGUGUCAUCACUGCUGAGAUUGGUGUCAUUUUCAUGUGUAUGACCUCCUCCUCAUCCACAUACAUCAGUGAUGUACCAGGCAAGUCAGGCCCCUGUUGGUGCCACAUCACUGGUGCUGGAAGUGGUGUGGCAGGUGCCUCCUCCUCCACACCCAUUGCCUCGGUCACCACUUCACUUUGUUGGGUUGCCUCUGCCACUUCCCCAGCAUCAUGUGCUGCCUCCACACUGCUGGCAUCAUAAGUUCUAAUUUCAGAAACAAAGCUGAUAAUGUUUUUGGUUUUAUUGCUAAGGAUAAAAGUAACAGAAACCAGUAAAUCUAGCUAAGGGGACAAUGUGUUUGACUUAAAUCCUAUGCUGUUUGAAGGAAGCCCAUGUCUAAGAAACUGCAAAUCCCUAAGACUCAUUAUCAUUAACAU